AGGCCUGUAGCUUAAUGGUAAAACAUCUCCUUUGGGUCUGUCGUGGAAAGUACCUCUGCGCAGUUGAUGUACGUUCAAAUCGUGCCGGGUCUA